GCAUAUCAAUAAGCGGAGGAAAAGAAACCAACAGGGAUUGCCCUAGUAACGGCGAGUGAAGCGGCAACAGCUCAAAUUUGAAAUCUGGCCUCGGCCCGAGUUGUAAUUUGCAGAGGAUGCUUCUGGCGCGGUGCCUUCCGAGUUCCCUGGAACGGGACGCCACAGAGGGUGAGAGCCCCGUAUGGUCGGACACCAAGCCUGUGUGAAGCUCCUUCGACGAGUCGAGUAGUUUGGGAAUGCUGCUCUAAAUGGGAGGUAAAUCUCUUCUAAAGCUAAAUACCGGCCAGAGACCGAUAGCGCACAAGUAGAGUGAUCGAAAGAUGAAAAGCACCUUGAAAAGGGGGUUAAAUAGUACGUGAAAUUGUUGAAAGGGAAGCACUUGU
rnacentral:rRNA from 1 species